GCUUCUUCACCUACCAACGUUUUGGACCUUAGCUUCGACAGACCCACCAGACGAAGCAAGAUGAACCGCCUGUUUGGAAUGGACCUUCUUGUGCUGGCCGCAAUCGCAAUCGGUUUACUCAUCAUGACUCCGAAUGAAGCUCUCGCUAGCCUCGGGGGAGGUGUCGGAGCAGGCGCUGCCAAGAAGUGAAUUUUUGGCGCCCUGAGUGUAGCCACUCCAUCGUUGUCAUGGUCUAGAUGACGGGCUCGCCUGC